rnacentral:rRNA from 1 species
UCCAGACUCCUACGGGAGGCAGCAGUGGGGAAUAUUGAACAAUGGGGGAAACCCUGAUGCAGCGACGCCGCGUGAGUGAAGAAGUAAUUCGUUAUGUAAAGCUCUAUAAGCAGGGAAGAAAAUGACGGUACCUGAGUAAGAAGCCCCGGCUAACUACGUGCCAGCAGCCGCGGUAAUACGUAGGGGGCAAGCGUUAUCCGGAUUUACUGGGUGUAAAGGGAGCGUAGACGGCAGUGCAAGUCCGGAGUGAAAGCCCGGGGCUCAGCCCUGGGACUGCUCUGGAAACUGUAAAGCUGGAGUGCGGGAGGGGCAGGCGGAAUUCCUGGUGUAGCGGUGAAAUGCGUAGAUAUCAGGAGGAACACCGGCGGCGAAGGCGGCCUGCUGGACCGUAACUGACGUUGAGGCUCGAAAGCGUGGGGAGCAAACAGGAUUAGAUCCCCUCGUA